rnacentral:sRNA from 1 species
GGCUUCAACAUCCCUGCGGGUGGGACCUUCCAGGUAUGUGCAUCCGCUGGAGCC